AACCAAUAUUUAUAGACCAUUUCCUUUGUGCAAAAAGCUGUACUGAGAAUCCAAAAAGGUACAUAUCUGAUCUCUGCUGCCAAUUAGUUUACAACAGAACUGCUGGGGAAAGAAGAGGUGGAGCAGAGUGCCUGCCAGAUCUGGAGUACAGAAGAGGAUAAAGCCCUGGAGUCAGAGAGCCACAUGAGAGAAGGAGCUUGGGCCCGGAAUCAUUGUCGGAGCAGAGCACACCACCCUCAAUCCACAUCAGACUGACACGAACAAGAAAAACUUCCUUCGGCAAAGCAUUGCAGGCACGUGGUGAGCACAGGAAAAAACUGACCAAUCUUCAAAGAGAAAUGAAAAGCAAUGAAGACAUCUCAGAAAUUUGAGGUUUUGAAGUGUUAGGGAAAAAAAAUUGCUUCUAGACCCCAGACAGUAAGAAGCAAAAUUGAAAAAAGCUUGAACAAAGGCCCAGUAAAUUUUCUCAGUUGUAUAAAGUCACUUAGAUUGAGCAUGAAAUCUGCUUUAGAUGGUGGUAAGGUAGCCACUGUUAAGUAAUGAAGCCCACACCCAUGUUCUCAGCAGCACUACACACACAACAGCUGAGAGGCGGAGAAAAUCCAGGCGUACAUAGAUAAAGGAAUGGAUAAGGAAAACGCGGUCUAUACACACAAUGGAAAAUUGUUCAGUCUUAAAAAGAAAGAAAAUGCAAACACAUACUACAACAUGGAAGAACCUUAACUAUAUCAUGCUAAGUGAAAUAAGCCAGUUACGAAAGAUCAAUACUGUAUGAUUCCACUUACCUGUGAAAUACCUAGAGUAGUCAAAUCCAUAGAAACGGAAAGUAGAAUGGUGGUUGCUAGGGGCUGGGAGGAGGAGGAAAUGGGAGUUUUUUUAAACAGGUAUAGAGUUUCAGUUUGCAAGACGGAAAGAGUCCUGGUGAUUGCUUGUACAACGUGACUUAUACUUUUUAAAAAUUAUUAUUAUACCUUAAGUUCUGGGAUAUAUGUGCAGAAUGUGCAGGUUUGUUACAUAGGUAUACAUGUGAAACGGUGGUGUGCUGCACCCAUCAACCCAUCAUCUACAUUAGGUAUUUCUCCUAAUGUUAUCCCUCCCCUAGCCCCCCACCCAGUGUGUGAUGUUCCCCUCCCCGUGUCCAUGUUUUCUCAUUGUUCAACUCCCACUUAUAAGUGAGAACAUGCAGUGUUUGGUUUUCUGUUCCUGUGUUAGUUUGCUGAGAAUGACGGUUUCCAGCUUCACUCAUGUCCCUGCAAAGGACACGAAUUCAUCCUUUAUGGCUGCAUAGUAUUCCGUGGUAUAUAUGUGCCACAUUUUCUUUAUCCAGUCUAUCAUUGAUGGGCAUUUGGGUUACUUCCAAGUCUUUGCUAUUGUGAACACUGCUGCAAUAAACAUACGUGUGUAUGUGUCUUUAUAGUAGAAUGAUUCAUA
rnacentral:lncRNA from 1 species